UGGAUCAGGAGAGCGCUAUGACCGAUUUGCUCAAGCGAUACUUGGAAGAUUUUGAAGCGGGGCAGACCUUUCGGUCCGGCCGCAUCC
rnacentral:misc_RNA from 1 species